AUUCCCACUCGUGCACUGCGGUUCUAAGCGCGCCAUCUACACCCACCUGACGACUGCUCGCUGCGUUUAGUUCGCC
rnacentral:sRNA from 4 species